GUAAUUGUGAAAAGGUAUCUUUUGCUUCUUCCGGAGAAGAUGGAGCAGUGUAUAAACGUUGUAUUUAUGUUGGUUAUGGGCUUAUGGUUGGUAGGCAAUUAAAUCAUGCCUGUUUUGUUAUAUUGAUUUAAAAUCGUACCUUGGCUUGAAUGUACCGCUAGUUAAACGUUCGUGUCCGUGAAAUUGCUUGACUUUGUGCCCCCAAUAUGUUCUCCCAGAUGCCAUUCUUAGUCAGGGGUUUCAUGAGAAAGCUUCCAAGAAUUUCAUAUGUUGUUGCUUCCAAUAUGUUGUUGCUUCCAAGACUGACUCAUCGUCUUAACUGAUUUUUUUUGACAAAUGAAACCGUACCGCCAAUGCAGAAUUGAAUCAUAAUUUUAUAGGCAAAAUGAUAAAUUUUAAUUGUGAUGCACCGAAAUGGACAGAAGAAAUUGAAUGAAACUUUGUCGUUUCACACUUUCACUGAUCGAUCGUAAGUCAAUUCCACAAAUUGGUCAUACACUCGUAUCAUACGUGAAAUUUGUACUUCGUCAAGGAUUCAUCCUUGCACCCUCCCUGCCCUCUGUGUCUUAAUCCACCAUAGGGACAACUUCGCGAUUGACUCAACGAGCAUGGCAACCUGCUUCUCU
rnacentral:lncRNA from 1 species